CUUCUCUUCCCGCCAUCUUGGCUCCUGUGGAGGCCUGCUGGGAACGGGACUUCUAAAAGGAACUAUGUCUGGAAGGCUGUGGUCCAAGGCCAUUUUUGCCGGCUAUAAGCGGGGUCUCCGGAACCAAAGGGAGCACACAGCUCUUCUUAAAAUUGAAGGUGUUUACGCCCGAGAUGAAACAGAAUUCUAUUUGGGCAAGAGAUGCGCUUAUGUAUACAAAGCAAAGAACAACACAGUCACUCCUGGCGGCAAACCAAACAAAACCAGAGUCAUCUGGGGAAAAGUAACUCGGGCCCAUGGAAACAGUGGCAUGGUUCGUGCCAAAUUCCGAAGCAAUCUUCCUGCUAAGGCCAUUGGACACAGAAUCCGAGUGGUGAGUAUGGUUUUUAGCAAAAUGGACGUCUGAUGAAUCAGACUAAGUUCAAGAUGUUGCGCUUUGACUUCUGAGGACUUCUGUGGUUGUGAAAUUGACACCAGUAGAUUAUGCUGCAAAAUUUGUGUAUUGCAGAACACUGGAGAGAAAUAGUAAUUGAAAGAAUAGGUGUUUGGUGGUUUUUCUUUUUUUGUGUGUGUGGGAGAGAGGGUCUCACUUUGUCACCCAGGUUGGGGUGCAGUGGCAUAAUCGCAGCUCACUGCAGCCUUGACCUCCUGGGCUCAAGCAAUCCUCCCACCUCA
rnacentral:sRNA from 1 species